GACGAACGCUGGCGGCGUGCUUAACACAUGCAAGUCGAACGGAAAGGCCCUGCUUUUGUUGGUUUCUCGAUUGGCGAACGGGUGUGUAACACGUGUGUAUCCUGCCCUUGACUUUGGGAUAACUUCACGAAACUGGGGCUCAUAUCGGAUAUGAUCUCCUGCUGCAUGUUGUUGGUUGGUAAGUUUCGGCGGUUGGGUCUGUUCUCGCUGCUUAUCAGCUUUUUUGUGGGGUAGUUGCUUUCCAAGCCUUUGACGGGUAGCCGGCCUGAGAGGGUUACCGGCCACAUAGGGACUGAGAUACGGCAGAGACUGGUAAGGGAGGGAAAAGUGGGGAAUAUUGAAGAAUGGGCGGAAGGCUGAUGAAGAAAGGCCGCGGGCGGGAUGACGGCCUUAGGGUGGAAAACCGAAUUCGAAUGUGACGAAGCGUGAGUGACGGUAAUGGGUAAAGAAGGACCGGCUAACUACGUG
rnacentral:rRNA from 1 species